CCUACGGGUGGCAGCAGUGAGGAAUAUUGGUCAAUGGCCGAGAGGCUGAACCAGCCAAGUCGCGUGAGGGAAGACGGCCCUACGGGUUGUAAACCUCUUUUGUCGGGGAGCAAAGCGAACCACGUGUGGUUCAUUGAGAGUACCCGAAGAAAAAGCAUCGGCUAACUCCGUGCCAGCAGCCGCGGUAAUACGGAGGAUGCGAGUGUUAUCCGGAUUUAUUGGGUGUAAAGGGAGCGUAGGCGGGACUGCAAGUUGGGUGUCAAAUCUACCGGCUCAACCGGUAGCCGCACUCAAAACUGCAGUUCUUGAGUGAAGUAGAGGCAGGCGGAAUUCCUAGUGUAGCGGUGAAAUGCGUAGAUAUUAGGAGGAACACCAGUGGCGAAGGCGGCCUGCUGGGCUUUUACUGACGCUGAGGCUCGAAAGUGUGGGGAGCAAACAGGAUUAGAUACCCGGGUAGUC
rnacentral:rRNA from 1 species